rnacentral:rRNA from 1 species
CGAGUGGCGGACGGGUGAGUAAUGUCUGGGAAACCGCCUGAUGGAGGGGGAUAACUACUGGAAACGGUAGCUAAUACCGCAUAACGUCGCAAGACCAAAGAGGGGGACCUUCGGGCCUCUUGCCAUCGGAUGUGCCCAGAUGGGAUUAGCUAGUAGGUGGGGUAACGGCUCACCUAGGCGACGAUCCCUAGCUGGUCUGAGAGGAUGACCAGCCACACUGGAACUGAGACACGGUCCAGACUCCUACGGGAGGCAGCAUG